rnacentral:lncRNA from 1 species
CCGAGGCCGAGGAGCCGCUGCCUAGGCGGCUCUGUACCUGCCACAGCCGCCCGAAGGCCUCCAGGAAGCGCGGGGCUCGGCGCCCCACGCGCAGCCGGACCCGGCCAUGGUGCGGGCUGGGGCGAGGACACGCGAGCCGACACGAUGCGCCAGGCAGGCCCGCGGCGCCCGCCGUCACAUCCCCGCCCGGACCCGCGGCUCCGCAGGGAGGGGCCUGCAGCGCCCGCACCGACUCCCGGGACCUCAGGCUGCCAUGACACCGGAAGCGGGAGUGCUCAGACCAGCGGCCGGAAGUGGGAGAAAGCCAAUCCCACAGGCUGAAGGGGGAGGAGCAAAUUGGGGCGGGACCUCCAGGGGGAAAUUUUUGUUUAGCUAAGGACUAAGAAAUAUUAAACUUAAUUAUUAGA